rnacentral:rRNA from 1 species
GAUGAACGCUAGCUACAGGCUUAACACAUGCAAGUCGAGGGACCGGCGCACGGGUGAGUAACACGUAUCCAACCUGCCCUUUACUCGGGGAUAGCCUUUCGAAAGAAAGAUUAAUACCCGAUAUAAAGGGUGGGGAUGCGUUCCAUUAGGUUGUUGGUGAGGUAACGGCAAAGCAAGCAUUCGAUGGAUAGGGGUUCUGGUAGGAAGGUCCCCCACGUUUGAACCAAGGCCCGGUCCAAACUCCUACGGAGGGCAGCGGUGAGGUAGAUUAGGCAAUGAGCUCUGGCCUGAACCAGCCACGUGGCGUAAAGGGUGAAGGGUUAUGAGUCGUAAGCUGCUUGAAUAUAAGAAGAUGUAUUUUAUGAAUAAGGAUCGGCUAACUCCGUGCCAGCCGCCGCGGUAAUUC